rnacentral:rRNA from 1 species
UACGAAGGGGGCUAGCGUUGUUCGGAAUUACUGGGCGUAAAGCGCGCGCAGGCGGUCCUUCAAGUCAGAGGUGAAACGCCCAGAGCUCAACUCUGGAAUGGCCUUUGAGACUAGAGGACUUGGGUACGGGAGAGGUGAGUGGAAUUCCGAGUGGUAGAGGUGAAAUUCGUAGAUAUUCGGAAGAACACCAGUGGCGAAGGCGGCUCACUGGCCCGUUACCGACGCU